AUCCUUACUUUUGUUGUCGGCAGCCAGGAAGGCUCAGAGUGGAAAGGACGGAAUCUGCAGUGCUGCGAAUGAGACUGCGUUAUUUUUUCUUUUCUUUUUUCUAUUUUGUUCUGUAUUUGUUGUUUAGAUUUCUCCUUUUCUUCUUUCAGCCUUUUGUCGUGCACCUACGCAGUUUCCGUGCGCAACCACCUCACCUUCCAAUGCCCUUGCAUCUUCAUCACUGCCACCGCUUCUCAUUUAGCUUGCUAACGAAUUCUUAGGUUUUCCUUGCCUUGCCUCUCUCACUUUUAACAUGGCCCUGCCUCACCCCGACCUCCAUCACGACGACUGGGGCGUGCUGCUCUACUAUAAGUUCGUGGUCAUCGCAGAGCCUGCGCGUGUGGUUGAUUACCUCAACCGGCUUUGCACCUCUCUCUCCCUUCGCGGUCGCGUCCGCAUCGCCCCUGAUGGCGUCAAUAUCACUGUCACAGGGACCCUGCCUGCCCUCUACUCUCACGUCUCCGCCAUCCGAGCCCACCCCCUCUUCGCCUUCCCCUCCGUUGAUUUCAAGCUCUCCCCUGCUCCCCCUUUCGAUGCCGUCCCCCCGCACCUCGCUCUUGACUGUGGAUUUGCCUCACUCUCAGUUCGCCUCGUCCCCCACCUCAUCACUAUUGCGCCCAAUCCCCCUCCUAUCACCAAUGCCGGUCCCCAUGUUUCACCCCACCAAUUCCACUCCCUCCUUGAACACACCGAGUUGAAAUCGACUGUUCUCAUUGAUGCUCGGAACAUUUAUGAAACUCGUAUCGGCAAGUUCUGUCCUCCCUCGGAGGUCCAGUUCUUUGAUCCCUUGCUGCGACAAUAUAGCGACUUGCCAGGUUGGCUCGAUGCUCACCAGGAGCAACUGCGCAACAAACGCGUUCUCAUGUACUGCACAGGCGGUGUACGGUGCGAACUUGCGUCAUCCUAUUUGCGGAGCAAAGGGAAAGACUUCGAAGAUGUCAUGCAGCUUUCAGGAGGCAUUCAUCGGUACUUGGAGGAUUUUACCGAUGGAGGUUACUUUAAGGGCAAGAAUUUUGUAUUUGAUCAUAGUGGUGCAGACUGGAUUCAUUGGGUAUUUGUGGACAGAAUGGCUGUCGCAAGCAGUAGUGAGGAGAUUGUGGGCCGUUGCCUUCUCUGCAAAGCUCCCUUCGACGACUACUUUGCUCGAAAUCGGUGCUCUUUGUGCAGACUUCUUGUCCUCAUCUGCCCAACUUGUCAGGGUGCUGGAAACUCACCUGCAUCGUCUGCGAAGUAUGUUUGUGAACUCUGUGAAGUGAACCAAAAGGCUUUUGGGGGAUCAGAGACAGGAGAGGUGUAUAGUAUUAAGAGUGGUGCACCGAUAACAAAAGCUAUGACAUCACCAACGGAUUUGAAAACGUCUUUAUUACACGGAUUGGCAACGAAGCGGAAAUUAAGACUUCUUUGCUUGCAUGGCUUCCGUCAAAAUGCAAGUUGCUUCCAAGGUCGAUUGGGGUCUCUAAAGAAGAAGUUAAAACACAUUGCAGAUUUUGUGUUUGUUGAUGCACCUCACUCUCUCCCUUUUAUCCAACAAGAACGAACCGAAGAUUGGAGUGAUGUGGGGCCAAAAAGAGAUUUGAAAAGGGCAUUUUGUCAGAAACCGACUAGAAAGAAUGCGUGGCUAAUAAGUCCUGGCGAUGCACGGGCUAUGAAAGAGGAGGAAUCAGGAGUGGAAGGGGAGAGAAGGAACACACGAUUUGAGCCUUGGCAGUAUGAAACACAGACAGAAGGGUGGGAGAAGUCAUGGGAGUGUUUGCAAAGAGUUUUCCAAGAUCUGGGUCCCUUUGAUGGAGUGUUGGGGUUUUCGCAAGGUGCAGCUGUAGUUGCUGCUCUCUGCUCGCUUCGCCACACUCGACCCCUCAACAACGAUGUUAUCGAUGCUGCUGUGCAUUUUAGAUUUGCAGUUCUGUGCUCCGGAUAUUCAUCGCCUGUUCCCUUGCAUGCGAAGAUCACGUCCAGUGAAGCAGGAAUCCGUUGUCCAUCUCUGCAUAUAUAUGGUGGACAAGAUCGUCAAAUAGGUUCCGAAAUGUCAGAGCAAUUAGCUAGCUUGUUCCACAGAGACGAUCGUGUAAUCAUUAAGCAUGAUUACGGACAUAUCAUUCCCACAAAACCGGAGUACAUAGAACAAUAUGUGCAUUUCCUUCGCGGAUUUCUUGAAUAGCCUGGAAAUACAUACUGUAUCCAGCACUGAAAGAAUGCUAAGUCAGCACUUACACUGCCGGAUGGACAGUAAAGGGAUGGAGUGAAUUUUUCUGGAGCAAGGAAGGAAAAUCAUACGCCACAUGGCACUAUGCACCGUGUCCAGAGAACACGUGGGACAAUGGAAGAGCCUUAAGCCUCACAGCGACACGUGUAAGGAAUCAAAUCGCCACGUAGGCAGUGACAGGGCAGAGGAGUGAGAGUAACAUAUUGCAGACCUAACCAGAUGUUGACAUAUCUUCUUCCUUUUCUGCCCUGCCCUGCUCUGCCCUUGCUGCUGCAUAGUUAUCUCAAACACUCUACUUUCGCUAUCUCCAUGUAAUCCUACAAUCCCCUCUCCUACGAUUUUUUGUGCAUGCUGUUGAACUUAUAGUUAUUAGUUUGUGUUUUUUAGGCGUGCCAUUCAAACUUAUUCUCGUCGUGGUUUUGUAGCCAUGGCGAUGAUUAGUGUGCGCAGUUCAUCCUUGGGAGCAAUUGUGCUGCUGGUGCUCCUGGUGUCUCUUCUUGUCGUUCAUUCUUCUGUAGACUCCACUGCUGAUCACGCCAAACAAAGCACAGCUGAUGCUGCCUCCGCUGCUCAAGACUCCACCAAUUCCUGGAUGGAUAUGGCUAAGGACAAGCUCAACCUCUUCUCCAAGGGCCACACUGAGGCAACGAAAAGUGCAGAGGAGACUGCCACUGAUGCUGCCAACGUAGCAGGAAGCAAGGCCCAGGAAAGCAAGGAUGCUGCAGCAGACACCACAUCAGGUUAGAGUAAUAUUGUGGAACACUUUUCUCGCUGUGUUUGCAAGUGUCUAUGUCAGUAUUACUUAUUUAUACCCAGCUCAAUGCUUCCCCUAUAUUUGGUCACAACUCUUGUUAUGAUGGAUACUGCUACCUUCUGAGUAAAAGUUUUUCAUGAAGUGAGUGGCGGUGACUUGGCUUCGCUAGUGCGGACUGUUCUUGUUGCAGGAUACUGGAAGACUUUGAGCAACCGCAUCAAAAUUAUUUCAGAUAGCAUCAGCAGAUUUGGAAAAGGCAUGGCAGAGUCGGGAAAGGUAGCUUCAGAAGGGAUAGUAGGCAAAGCAACCGAGGGCGCAGAUUAUUUGAAGAG